rnacentral:pre_miRNA from 1 species
UUUCUACUCCCUCCGUCUGAAAAUACUUGUUAUCAAAAUGGAUAAAAAGAGAUGUAUCUAAAACUAAAAUACGUCUAGAUACAUUUCCUUUUAUCCAUUUUUAUGACAAGUAUUUUCGGACGGAGGGAGUAUUUG